rnacentral:rRNA from 1 species
CGAACCUUCGGGUUAGUGGCGGACGGGUGAGUAACGCGUGAGAAUCUGCCCUCAGGAGGGGGAUAACAGUUGGAAACGACUGCUAAUACCCCAUAUGCCGAAAGGUAAAACUAAUUUCGCCUGGGGAUGAGCUCGCGUCUGAUUAGCUUGUUGGUGGGGUAACGGCCUACCAAGGCUUCGAUCAGUAGCUGGUCUGAGAGGACGAUCAGCCACACUGGGACUGAGACACGGCCCAGACUCCUACGGGAGGCAGCAGUGGGGAAUUUUCCGCAGUGGGCGCAAGCCUGACGGAGCAACGCCGCGUGAGGGAUGAAGGCCUUUGGGCUGUAAACCUCUUUUCUCAAGGAAGAAGAUCUGACGGUACUUGAGGAAUAAGCCACGGCUAAUUCCGUGCCAGCAGCCGCGGUAAUACGGGAGUGGCAAGCGUUAUCCGGAAUUAUUGGGCGUAAAGCGUCCGCAGGCGGCCGUUUAAGUCUGUUGUUAAAUCGUAGAGCUCAACUCUAUCACGGCAAUGGAAACUGUUCGGCUUGAGUAUGGUAGGGGCAGAGGGAAUUUCCGGUGUAGCGGUGAAAUGCGUAGAUAUCGGGAAGAACACCAGUGGCAAAAGCGCUCUGCUGGGCCAUUACUGACGCUCAUGGACGAAAGCCAGGGGAGCGAAAGGGAUUAGAUACCCCUGUAGUCCUGGCCGUAAACGAUGAACACUAGAUGUUGGGGGAAUCGACCCCUUCGGUGUCGUAGCUAACGCGUUAAGUGUUCCGCCUGGGGAGUACGCACGCAAGUGUGAAACUCAAAGGAAUUGACGGGGGCCCGCACAAGCGGUGGAGUAUGUGGUUU